UAAGACGAAGGGGGCUAGCGUUGUUCGGAAUUACUGGGCGUAAAGCGCGUGUAGGCGGUUGCCAAAGUCGGGUGUGAAAGCCUUGAGCUCAACUCAAGAAUAGCACUCGAUACUUGGUGGCUAGAGGACCGGAGAGGAUAGUGGAAUUCCCAGUGUAGUGGUGAAAUACGUAGAGAUUGGGAAGAACACCAGUGGCGAAGGCGGCUAUCUGGACGGUUACUGACGCUAAGACGCGAAAGCGUGGGGAGCAAACAGGAUUAGAUACCCUGGUAGUCCACGCCGUAAACGAUGGGUGCUAGACGUUGGCGGGCUUGCUCGUCAGUGUCGCAGCUAACGCGUUAAGCACCCCGCCUGGGGAGUACGGCCGCAAGGUUGAAACUCAAAUGAAUUGACGG
rnacentral:rRNA from 1 species